ACAAAGCCAGGAGAGGGCUUCCGUUUCCGGGCCCCGCCAGAACACCCGGGCAGGUAUCAGGGACAGGGCAGGAUUCCAGCUUCAGCCUGUCUACCUCUGAAGCUCUCCUGAUCAAUACACCAGAGAAGAUGAUGGAGCCCUCCUGCCGCUCUUGGGGAGAGUCGCGUCGCUGCUGUCAUCGAUGCCGUGCUGGACCUCGCAGCGAUAGAUGCCUGAGUCGUUGGGGCGCAGCUCGCUCAGCGCCAGGGAGACAUCAGUGAGCGACGCUGGGUACGCAGGCAGUGCCACGCGGAACCGGUAGGCCUCAUUCACCUUGACGCGAACUCCCCGCGCCACCAGCACCUCUGCCUCCCGGCCCCCGGACAGGAAAGUCCACUUGACCCGCGGAGAUCCCAGCACGGCCCGGCGGCUCGGCGGCGGCCGCAGAACAUCUGCUAAAGCUGCAGGAGCCUGGACCAGGACCAGGGCUGCCAGCAGGGGCAGGAGUAGCUGGGCCAUGCUGCAGGCUGACAGAAGGACAUGAGAAAGAAAGAUGGGGUUAGACUUCAAGAUGGACUUCCUCCGGCUCCCUACUACACCCAUGUGGGUUCACACAUAUCCUGGCUCCAGAAGUCCCCUACCUUCACAUCACCAGGGACUCUCUGUUUCUGAUCCCCAUCUUCCCACCAAGGGAUUCCUUCUCAGAACCAAGACCUGAGUCCUAGUCAACUCUCUGUGUGACCUAAGCCAGCUCCUUACCUUCUCUGGGCCUUUAUUUUCUUAUUUAUAAAAGAGCAUCAUCAUUACUACCUCAUGAGUUGUAAUGGAACCAUGUGCUUUGAGAGUGUUUUGUAUCUUAAAACUCCUGUACAAAUGUAUAGCACCAGGCACACAGUAGGAGCUCAGAAUAUAGCAUGAAUGCUGGGUGCUAUUAUACUCAGAAUUCUGUCUGCUCU